AUACAGAGGGUGCGAGCGUUAAUCGGAAUUGCUGGGCGUAAAGCGCGCGUAGGCGGCUUAUUAAGUCAGAUGUGAAAUCCCCGGGCUCAACCUGGGAACUGCAUCUGAUACUGGUAAGCUAGAGUUUUGGAGAGGGAAGUAGAAUUUCAGGUGUAGCGGUGAAAUGCAUAGAGAUCUGAAGGAAUACCAGUGGCGAAGGCGACUUCCUGGCCAAAAACUGACGCUGAGGUGCGAAAGCGUGGGUAGCAAACGGGAUUAGAUACCCCAGUAGUCC
rnacentral:rRNA from 1 species